rnacentral:rRNA from 1 species
ACACGAACCUUCCGAACGUUAUUCGGAAUCACUGGGCUUAAAGGGUGCGUAGGCGGUGCGGUAAGUUGGGUGUGAAAUCCCUCGGCUCAACCGAGGAACUGCGCCCAAUACUGCCGUACCUGAGGGAGACAGAGGUAAGCGGAACUGAUGGUGGAGCGGUGAAAUGCGUUGAUAUCAUCGGGAACACCGGUGGCGAAAGCGGCUUACUGGGUCUCUUCUGACGCUGAGGCACGAAAGCUAGGGGAGCGAACGGGAUUAGAAACCCCAGUAGUCC